GUGGGGAAUAUUGGACAAUGGGCGCAAGCCUGAUCCAGCAAUGCCGCGUGGGUGAAGAAGGCCUUCGGGUUGUAAAGCCCUUUUGUACGGGAAGAAAUCAUUCGGGUUAAUACCCUGGGUGGAUGACGGUACCGUAAGAAUAAGCACCGGCUAACUUCGUGCCAGCAGCCGCGGUAAUACGAAGGGUGCAAGCGUUAAUCGGAAUUACUGGGCGUAAAGCGUGCGCAGGCGGUUUUGUAAGAUCGAUGUGAAAUCCCCGGGCUCAACCUGGGAACUGCAUUGGUGACUGCAAGGCUGGAGUGCGGCAGAGGGGGAUGGAAUUCCGCGUGUAGCAGUGAAAUGCGUAGAUAUGCGGAGGAACACCGAUGGCGAAGGCAAUCCCCUGGGCCUGCACUGACGCUCAUGCACGAAAGCGUGGGGAGCAAACAGGAUUAGAAACCCUUGUAGUCC
rnacentral:rRNA from 1 species